rnacentral:rRNA from 1 species
UACGAAGGGGGCUAGCGUUGCUCGGAAUCACUGGGCGUAAAGCGCACGUAGGCGGAUUGCUAAGUCAGGGGUGAAAUCCUGGAGCUCAACUCCAGAACUGCCUUUGAUACUGGUGAUCUUGAGCCCGGGAGAGGUGAGUGGAACUGCGAGUGUAGAGGUGAAAUUCGUAGAUAUUCGCAAGAACACCAGUGGCGAAGGCGGCUCACUGGCCCGGUACUGACGCUGAGGUGCGAAAGCGUGGGGAGCAAACAGG